GCAAGUCGAACGGCAGCACGGGGGCAACCCUGGUGGCGAGUGGCGAACGGGUGAGUAAUGCAUCGGAACGUGUCUUCGAGUGGGGGAUAACGCACCGAAAGGUGUGCUAAUACCGCAUAAUCUCUACGGAGAAAAGCAGGGGAUCGCAAGACCUUGCGCUCUUGGAGCGGCCGAUGCCUGAUUAGCUAGUUGGUGAGGUAAAGGCUUACCAAGGCGACGAUCAGUAGCUGGUCUGAGAGGACGACCAGCCACACUGGGACUGAGACACGGCCCAGACUCCUACGGGAGGCAGCAGUGGGGAAUUUUGGACAAUGGGGGAAACCCUGAUCCAGCCAUGCCGCGUGAGUGAAGAAGGCCUUCGGGUUGUAAAGCUCUUUCAGCCGGAACGAAACGGUCACGGCUAAUACCUGUGACUACUGACGGUACCGGAAGAAGAAGCACCGGCUAACUACGUGCCAGCAGCCGCGGUAAUACGUAGGGUGCAAGCGUUAAUCGGAAUUACUGGGCGUAAAGCGUGCGCAGGCGGUUUUGUAAGUCAGAUGUGAAAUCCCCGGGCUUAACCUGGGAACUGCGUUUGAAACUACAAGGCUAGAGUGUGGCAGAGGGGGGGUGGAAUUCCACGUGUAGCAGUGAAAUGCGUAGAGAUGUGGAGGAACACCGAUGGCGAAGGCAGCCCCCUGGGUUAACACUGACGCUCAGGCACGAAAGCGUGGGGAGCAAACAGGAUUAGAUACCCUG
rnacentral:rRNA from 1 species